rnacentral:lncRNA from 1 species
AUCAAAGCGAAAUUUUUGCAGACAGACCAUGCCUUCCUUUAUUCAUGAAGAUGACAAAAAUGGGAGUACUGGAGAGACCCAGAAGUGUUCCAUCCUGAGCGAUUUCUGGACAGCAGUGGAUAUUUUGCCAAGAAGGAAGCUUUGGUUCCUUUUUCCCUAGGAAGAAGACAUUGUCUUGGAGAACACUUGGCUCGGAUGGAAAUGUUCUUGUUUUUUACAGCAUUGCUUCAGAGGUUUCAUUUGCAUUUUCCACAUGAACUAGUUCCAGAUCUGAAGCCCAGGUUAGGCAUGACAUUGCAGCCCCAACCCUACCUCAUCUGUGCUGAAAGACGCUGAAACUGCCUGGGAUGUUUUCGGGAACAAGAAUGUAUAUUUGCCUUAUCCCUGAACUUGGUUUAAUCAAAUCAAUGUGUGUAUUAGAAUAAAAGUCACAGCAUCAAAAAGCC